GACAGAGGGUGCAAACGUUGUUCGGAAUUACUGGGCGUAAAGCGUGUGUAGGUGGCUGCGUAAGUCGGAUGUGAAAGCCCUGGCCUCAACUCAGGAAGUGCACUCGAUACUGCGUAGCUCGAGUACCGGAGAGGUUGGUAGAAUUCUCGGUGUAGAGGUGAAAUUCGUAGAUAUCGAGAGGAAUACCUGUGGCGAAGGCGCCCAACUCGACGAGUACUGACACUGAGACACGAAAGCGUGGGGAGCAAACAGG
rnacentral:rRNA from 1 species